rnacentral:misc_RNA from 1 species
AAGUCGUAACAAGGUCUCCGUUGGUGAACCAGCGGAGGGAUCAUUAAAGAGUAGUUUUUACAACAACUCCAAACCCAUGUGAACUUACCUAUGUUGCCUCGGCGGGGGAGCCUACCCUGUAGGAGCCCCGCCGAUGGACCAUUAAACUCUGUUUAUUUUGUAACUUCUGAGUGUUUAAACUUAAUAAGUUAAAACUUUCAACAACGGAUCUCUUGGUUCUG